UUUCCGCCCCGCCCCGCGCCGCCUCUCCGGUUUGUGCGCCUGGUGCAGGUCUCCGGCCUCUUUGUCCGCUGGAGUUGCGCGGGCGGACGCGCCACUACUUUGUAGCAGAUCUCAGGUGGGCCACAUGUGCGGCGGUAGGAACCCAACCCCGGCCGACCUUGAGCUCCAGGAGUUCGUCUCUCCUACGUCUGCGGAAGUGCGGCGGCCUCAUAAAUAGCAAAGGUUGACAACUACAGGUACAAGCCAUUGAAGCUAGGAUGUCCUGAUGCUGGUAUUUCAAUUGAUUUAGACCAACUAUCCCUUCAGUUACAAUACGAAAAUGCCUCUAAUAGGAGUACUAAGUUGUAGCAACCACGUGUCCAUGCAGUGCCACAGGAGCUAGAGCAGGGACAAGGCUGGUGGCAACAGGGUGUUUCAUGCUCAUCUUUUAAUUUAAUUCUCAUAAUUCGGAGGUUGAUUUUGUUCUCCCAUUUCACAUGUAAAGAAAUGGAUUGGGGUAAAUCAAGUUUCAUAAAAUGUGAGUAUUUCCGAAUAAGAGGCGUCACGUGACUUCUGGAAAGUCACUUGUCUCUUGAGAUUUGGUGUCUUGGUGUAACAGUUAAAAGAAUUUAAGCAAACUAGGAAAGGACCACGGUAGAGCAGUUAAGAAUAUAAGCUCUUCGUAUUCAUUGCAUUGAACCUAAGAAGGUUCACAAAAUUGGGCACAAAAGAGAGUAUGUGUCAGCAUAUUAUGUUUGUGUGUGUGUGUGUGUGUAGCAUAAGGAAGUGUAAGGGGAUUUAAAAGGACACAGUGGUGCUACGUUCUUAGAAUAUGAAAGUUUUGGAGGUGAUGAAAAGUUUUCAUGUGGGAGGAAACAGUCAAGCAAGUUCACUCCUAUUAACCAGUCUGCUGCCUGUCUAGCAAUUGAGGUCUCAUUACUCUGUCAGAAGUGACUCAUUCUCCAGAACUUCUAAAUAAAAGUAUUUAAUAUUUA